CUUGGAAGGUGAGGUAGAAACAUGCCCCCUCCUAUUUUGGCUGUCCAUUUUCCAAAUCCCUUUUGUAUUUUAAGAAAUUCCUAUUCCUGGAAUCUUGGUGGGAUCCAGAGCCCCAGCUCCUGCUACAGAAGCCAAAGGAGGAAAAACUUUCCUUUCACCUCCCCUGGCGCUUACCGUAUGGGCCAGUAAUAUUAGCUCAGCAGACUGAAUGCUUCUUCUGUGGACACUGACUCUGGGGAUGGAGGGACAGUUUUAAAUAUAGUACUAGUUGCAGGGUACAACAAUGCCACGGCAAUGGCAUCCAGUGGUUUCUGCCAUAAGGAUUGGUAGCAGUGGUGUCUCACAGUGGUAAGGGCAGUGGAGCUGAUGGCUGCUUCCUGACCAGACUGGUUCUGCAGGGUGACCUCCUCUGAUGUUCUCUGUCUGUCUCUGCUUGGUUCCUGCCUGUUUUGGGGGGCCUGAUUUCCAGUUUUCCUAACAAUUCUUACUAUCCUACAUUCUUCCAGUAAAGCCUACUUCUAUUUAAAUUAGACAGAAUUGAUUUCUCUUCCUUGAAACUAGGAACCCUAACAGUUUACAGGACUCAAGGACAAAGGUCACAGGGACAGUUUGUAGUCAAUAAAUAGAACUUUCAGUAAAUGAAAAGCCAAUGUAUCUCUCAGUUUCAUUACUCAGAAGCAGUAGCACCAAUGUCUCUAUCAGCUUGAAGCAGUAAGUCAGGAUUGACUGAGAUGGGGAACCAAGAUCACAGCCUUGAUGGGGAGGGAUGGCAGCUGCUUGACACCUCUUCACCUUCAUUGACCAAAGUCUUCUGGACGAAUCUAUAGCUACUGACAAUCACUGAAGACUGCCUUGGAGAAGUCAUGUGGAGAGUAAAAAUACAUUUUCUUUUCCACUUUGGAGGUGGAGUGGGAGUUGGCUGAGCACCAGUCUCCAUAAGAACCGCAGGUGAGAAGUCCUCGACAGGCCCAAAUCCCAAACUGCAGGAGAAAGUCUUCUGAGGAUGGGGACAGUCGGGGCAGAGACACAAGUCAUCUUCUCCAUAAACAGCUGUUAAUCACCAC
rnacentral:lncRNA from 1 species